AGGCGUUGCCCGGUGUCCCGAGACGAGCGCUACCGGUCGGACUCUCCGGAAGCCUGUCCGGCAGCCCCAGGCCGCCCCCGAGCCCUGGCGUGAAGGCGGCAAGCUGGCCCUCGCCUGUGCCGCUUUCUUCCUGAACAGGGGUGCUGGCGGCGGCGGCAGCGGCAGCAGCGCGGGGAAAGAGCGGCGUCUCCGGAAGCCCCUGCAGAAGGAGGAGGGUCUCCGGCCAGGGCCGACCUCCGGUAGUAACGGCCACUGCUUUUUCUUUCCCUCUCCCAGGCCGCGCUGAGGACGUGGUUGCCCGUCCCUCCCUUGGGGAUGCCGUCGACUGCACCCGCCUCGCCUGUGCCUGGCCUGGCUCGCCUCGUGGCGUGGGGGCGAAAAGGGACAGGCGGCGGAGCGCUUACCGGCCGUGGACAGGAGCUGCCCUAAGGGAAGCUGGAAUGGCCAGAGAAAGGUGAAGAAGAAGAAGAAGAAGAGAUGGAAGGCUCUCCGGCCGGCAGCUGCCUCCCGCUGCAGGCAAGAGAGCGCCUGCCUCGCCGGGCGGAGGACAGCCGAGCGACCGGAGUGACAGCAAAGGAAAGGCGGAGAGCGGGAGAAAGAAGCGUCUGCGCUGGCAAGCUCUCCCGGCAGCGCCGAGAGCCAGAGCUGCGGUGCUGCUGCGCCGAUGCUCCGUACGUUCGCAGUAACGGGUAGAGCGGAAGGCUCCGUGGCCAGGGAAGAGCGGCACGGACACGUUCCUGCUCGCUCCGUUGCACCGGAAUUUCAACGGCUGGGUUCGGCCGCUAAAUUGAUGGCGCUACCGGAAGAAAUUUCAGAAAAAAAGGGUGGCUUUUUCGUCGAUCUCUUUGUGAGAGUAUCAAAUCAGGCGGCGGUAAAUACGUAGAAGCAACUAGGCGUACUACGGCGUGUACCGGACAGCGUUGGCGUGCCGCUCUGCUAGCAGCGGAGAGCCAGAUGAGGAUGCCCGUGAUAUGAGAAAAGCUCUGUCCAGAGAUAUGGAGACGAAAUCAGUUGUACCUCACCCUGUGACACCGGAAGACAUUGAGUAACUGUAAGCUGUGAUGCUCAGUGAAAUUACUAAGAGCGUUAAGUUUCCCGUGCCUUUGCUUUCACUCUCCCAUUCUCUUGUCUUGCGGCACGUCGCGUUUUUUGAGGCCGUGGAAGCGACACCGGGAGCGAUGGGUUGUCAGAACCAGGUCCUCCUGCCUGUCGCUGGUUUUGCUUACCUUCGCCGUCUCUGUGUACCAGCCUGCAUCUCUCUCUCUGUUCCUCAAUCCCUGUCCUCUCUUCUCUGUUCUGCUUUGUUUCACUGCGUAUGUCCCAUUCCCUGUCCCACCUUUAUCCUUCCUUCCUUCUUCCUCGCCUUUUUCUUUGUCCUUUUGUCCUGCUCCCCGACCCUGUUUCUCGCUCCAUCUGACCGUCCCUUUCCUGGCACCUUUGUGUCUCUGCUCCUUGCCCCCGUCUUUCUCUCCCCUCUGCCCAGUCCUCGUCUCCCUCUUUUGUCUCUCUGUCCCUCUGUCCUCCUCCUGCCUCUGCCCCUCUGUCCUGCUCCCUGCCCCUCUUUUUCUCACUCUGCCCCAGCGUCCCGCUCCCCGGUCCUCUUUCCCUCUGUUGCUCUCUCCUUUUAUCUCUCCUUCUCCCUGCUCCCCAGCCCGGUUCUCUCACG